UACGUAGGGGGCAAGCGUUGUCCGGAUUUAUUGGGCGUAAAGAGCGUGUAGGCGGCCAUACAGGUCCGUUGUGAAAACUCGAGGCUCAACCUCGAGACGUCGAUGGAAACCGUAUGGCUAGAGUCCGGAAGAGGAGAGUGGAAUUCCUGGUGUAGCGGUGAAAUGCGCAGAUAUCAGGAAGAACACCAGUGGCGAAGGCGGCUCUCUGGGACGGUACUGACGCUGAGACGCGAAAGCGUGGGGAGCGAACAGG
rnacentral:rRNA from 1 species